rnacentral:misc_RNA from 1 species
UGGCGUUGACCCUGUCGGUG